AAGUAAAAGUCGUAACAAGGUCUCCGUUGGUGAACCAGCGGAGGGAUCAUUACCGAGUUUACAACUCCCAAACCCCUGUGAACAUACCAAUUGUUGCCUCGGCGGAUCAGCCCGCUCCCGGUAAAACGGACGGCCCGCCAGAGGACCCCUAAACUCUGUUUCUAUAUGUAACUUCUGAGUAAAACCAUAAAUAAAUCAAAACUUUCAACAACGGAUCUCUUGGUUCUGGCAUCGAUGAAGAACGCAGCAAAAUGGAUAAGUAAUGUGAAUUGCAGAAUUCAGUGAAUCAUCGAAUCUUUGAACGCACAUUGCGCCCGCCAGUAUUCUGGCGGGCAUGCCUGUUCGAGCGUCAUUUCAACCCUCAAGCCCAGCUUGGUGUUGGACUCGCGAGUUAAAUCGCGUUCCCCAAAUUGAUUGGCGGUCACGUCGAGCUUCCAUAGCGUAGUAGUAAAACCCUCGUUACUGGUAAUCGUCGCGGCCACGCCGUUAAACCCCAACUUCUGAAUGUGACCUCGGAUCAGGUAGGAAUACCCGCUG
rnacentral:rRNA from 1 species